UUAAAAAGCUCGUAGUUGGAUUUCUGCGGGGGCGGGGCGGCCGGUUGCUUAUAGCACUCGAGCUAGCACUUCCCCUGCAUCCUGCCGCGAACCGUGCUACCAUUAGUUUGGUGGCGCCGGGGAUCGGCUCGUUUACUUUGAGAAAAAUAGAGUGUUCAAAGCAGGCCACACGCCUUGAAUAAGUUAGCAUGGAAUAAUGAUAAAGGACUUCGGUUCUAUUUUGUUGGUGUUCGGGACUGAAGUAAUGAUUGAUAGGGACAGUUGGGGCGGUCCGUAUUCCAAAGCGAGAGGUGAAAUUCUUAGACCUUCGGAAGACGAACAGCUGCGAAAGCGUUCCGCAAGGAUGUUCCCCUUUGAUCAAGAACGAAAGUUGGGGGAUCGAAGACGAUCAGAUACCGUCGUAGUCUCAACUAUAAACUAUACCAGCUACGGAUCGGCCAACGUUUAAUUACACCGACUUGGUCGGCACCUUAUGAGAAAUCAAAGCAUCUGGGUUCCGGGGGGAGUAUGGUC
rnacentral:rRNA from 1 species